rnacentral:ncRNA from 1 species
CCAAUAACGAUGAUGAGGAAGAGUAAAUCAAGUGAUUAGUUCAGAGAGGAAACGGCUGCUGCAAGUUUCUCUAAUCCUUGGUUGAACGUAGCCUCUGAGUUGCUUUUUUGAAUUCAUAGUAAAAAAAAGCCGGUGCGAGCCGUUACGUAAAUGAAGUGCUUUCCUCUAAGGGGGAAGUAUAAAGGUGGUACCGCGGAAUGCUCUUUUCGUCCUUUUU